UACGUAGAGUGCGAGCGUUUGUCCGGAAUUAUUGGGCGUAAAGGGCUCGUAGGCGGUUUGUCGCGUCGGGAGUGAAAACACCGGGCUUAACUCGGUGCUUGCUUUCGAUACGGGCAGACUAGAGGUAUUCAGGGGAGAACGGAAUUCCUGGUGUAGCGGUGAAAUGCGCAGAUAUCAGGAGGAACACCGGUGGCGAAGGCGGUUCUCUGGGAAUAUCCUGACGCUGAGGAGCGAAAGUGUGGGGAGCGAACAGG
rnacentral:rRNA from 1 species